UUAUUGGGCGUAAGCGCGCGCAGGCGGUUUCUUAAGUCUGAUGUGAAAGCCCACGGCUCUACCGUGGAGGGUCAUUGGAAACUGGGGAACUUGAGUGCCUAAGAGAAAAGCGGAAUUCCACGUGUAGCGGUGAAAUGCGUAGAGAUGUGGAGGAACACCAGUGGCGAAGGCGGCUUUUUGGUCUGUAACUGACGCUGAGGCGCGAAAGCGUGGGGAGCAAACAGGAUUAGAUACCCUGGUAGUCCACGCCGUAAACGAUGAGUGCUAAGUGUUAGAGGGUUUCCGCCCUUUAGUGCUGCAGCUAACGCAUUAAGCACUCCGCCUGGGGAGUACGGUCGCAAGACUGAAACUCAAAGGAAUUGACGGGGGCCCGCACAAGCGGUGGAGCAUGUGGUUUAAUUCUUUUUUUACGCGAAGAACCUUACCAGGUCUUGACGGGCGGUGACAACUCUAGAGAUAGAGCGUUCCCCUUCGGGGGACAGAGUGACAGGUGGUGCAUGGUUGUCGUCAGCUCG
rnacentral:rRNA from 2 species